GUUGGCUUAGUGGCGUUCAUGGGUGCUGGAUUUAGGUUCCAGUGACGAAAGUCGUGGGGGUUCGAGUCCCUUCGCCCGCACCA
rnacentral:tRNA from 1 species